UACGGAGGGAGCAAGCGUUACUCGGAAUUAUUGGGCGUAAAGGGCGCGUAGGCGAUCUGAAAAGUUCUGUGUGAAAGCCCACAUGUUAACUGUGGAAGUGCACAGAAAACUGUUGGAUUUGAGUUCAGGAGAGGAAGGCAGAAUUCCCGGUGUAGCGGUGAAAUGCGUAGAGAUCGGGAGGAAUACCAGUGGCGAAGGCGGCCUUCUGGACUGACACUGACGCUGAGGCGCGAAAGCCAGGGGAGCAAACAGG
rnacentral:rRNA from 1 species